rnacentral:misc_RNA from 1 species
GAUGAAGAACGUAGCGAAAUGCGAUAAGUAAUGUGAAUUGCAGAAUUCAGUGAAUCAUCGAAUCUUUGAACGCACCUUGCGCCCUUUGGCUAUUCCGAAGGGCAUGCCUGUUUGAGUAUCAUGAACACCUCAACUCUCAUGGUUUGCCAUGAUGAGCUUGGACUCUGGGGGUCUUGCUGGCCUAUGGUCAGCUCCUCUCAAAUAAAUCAGCUUGCCAGUGUUUGGUGGCAUCACAGGUGUGAUAACUAUCUACGCUUGUGGUUUUCCAUCAGGUAACCUUCAGUGAUGGAGGUUCGCUGGAGCUCAUAAAUGUCCCUCCUCAGCGAGGACAGCUUUUUGAACAUUUGAUCUCAAAUCAGGUAGGACUACCCGCUGAACUUAAGAAUAUCAAUAAGCGGAGGA